AUAUCUUUGUACUUUCAAUUUAUGAAGAAUAAUAAAAUAAAUAUUUAUAGUUUGUUAUCAAUAUAUAUGUUGACAAUGUAAAUUAGAAAUUAAGCAUUAGAGAUAUUUGAGAACCGCUGAUCAUUACAGCUGAUGAUGCAACGUGCGGUUUGUGUGCAUUGUUCUUGUACUUUUAAUUGUACGUACACGUGAUUUAUAAUUAAAUUAAACAAUAGUGCUAAUACAAUUUGUAUGGAGAUUAUACAGGAAACAUAUAUUUUUGAAUUAUAUUAAUAGGAAACGCUAAUUAUUUUAUUUCAACAAAAGCAAUAUUUCAUACUUCCAGUUACCUAUUUUAUUGAAUAAAGAUGUUGUCAGGAAGACCUCCCGUAACAGAGAAUCCUUUGGGACUUUCCUGGCAUGACAGUGCAUGGAUUCCUGUGUUAAAUCCAAACAAUAUAAUGGAUUAUUUUUCGGAAAGGAGUAAUCCUUUUUAUGAUAGAACCUGUAAUAAUGAGAUUAUUAAAAUGCAACGGUUAAGCCCUGAUCAAUUGCAAAAUAUGACUGGUCUUGAAUAUAUUCUUUUACAUGUACAAGAACCAAUUUUAUAUGUAAUUAGAAAGCAACAUCGUCAUUCUUCUACUUUAGCAACACCGCUUGCAGAUUAUUACAUUAUUGCUGGUGUUGUGUAUCAAGCUCCUGACUUGGCAUCUGUUGUCAGCUCUAGAUUGUUAUCUACAGUACACCACUUACAAUCCGCUUUUGAAGAAGCUAGUUCAUGUUCAAGAUACCAUCCCAGUAAGGGUUAUUAUUGGGAUUUCAAAAAUGGCAAAGCUAUGGCAGCAAAGAAAGAAACACCCGUUCGUGAGGAACCAAGUUCUUUAUUCCAACGCCAAAGAGUAAACAUGUUACUUGCAGAACUCACACGCAAGUUUCCAUUACCUGUUCCAAAACCGGUGCAUCAAGCUAUAGAAUCAUCCAUGGAAAUUAAACAAGAAAUUAAAACUGAAAAGAAAGACAUGAAACCACCACCAGAAAAGAAGCCAAAAAUUAAUUAAUAAUGUAUUAAUGAUAACGUAAGAUUAAUAACGUUCUAGCAAUGAAUUUUAGUUUCAUUUGUAAAUGCUGCAAUAACAAAUAUACUUCUUGUUAUGGUUAUAGUGUAUAAGAAGAAAAAUGAUAUGUGAUGGAAAUACGUGUCCGAAAUCGUACGCGGAUACGAAAAUCUAUGAACAGUGUCAUUAUGUUACCGACAACAAUGAAUUCAUCAAGAAUCUGAAACACGAGAAGUGUAAAAUAAUUCAAUUAGUUCGACGACAAAUCUAUAAUUUUCACAAUGCUCAAGUAACAAUAUCCUAAUUAAAAGUUUCUGUAUAAUUCAGAAUUUUGUGUUCAUGUAUUGAAAGGGAACAAGUAUGAACUUGUUGAACAAAUUGCAGAGAAGUUUCCAGUUGGAAUAUCAAAAUAUUUCCAACGUCAAGAACGAAGACAUGAAUGUGAAAGAAGGAACAAAUAUCCAUGAAUAUCCAAUUUGUCAAGCAUGGCUUGUAGGCAGGUUAAAAAAGAUUCGUCGAAGAAUUUGCAUGAUAGUAUUGAUUGCUGGAUUGAUCUUAUUGAUAUGGCUGAUAUGCAGUAUUUAUUUCCGGGGAUAUCUAUGCAAUAAUGGAAAAUCUUGCAUUACCUCUCUUCGGUACACUCAUGCCAAACAUAAAUUAUUUUAAAUUGAGCUCUUCUUAAUAUUUACAAAGAUCAAUAGAUAUAACGAUGAAAAUAAAUGUGGUAUUUGUAUGGGUUAAA